rnacentral:rRNA from 1 species
CACGUAGGGUGCGAGCGUUUGUCCGGAAUUAUUGGGCGUAAAGAGCUCGUAGGCGGUGUGUCACGUCGGCCGUGAAAACCUACAGCUUAACUGUGGGCGUGCGGUCGAUACGGGCAUCACUGGAGUUCGGCAGGGGAGACUGGAAUUCCUGGUGUAGCGGUGAAAUGCGCAGAUAUCAGGAGGAACACCGGUGGCGAAGGCGGGUCUCUGGGCCGAUACUGACGCUGAGGAGCGAAAGCGUGGGGAGCGAACAGG